rnacentral:rRNA from 1 species
AUGUCAAGAUCCAUUGAUGAUGUUUACUUGAAGAAGCCGAAGUACAUCAUGGACCUAAUAUUUCGGAAAAUUGGUCUUGUUAUUGCAUUGAAGAAGCCAACUCUUACCGCUGAACCACAAAAUCAUGUUUGUUGCCUUGAAAGAGGCCAUGAAGAAGAUAGAGUGGGGGUGUUGCGCCAUUUCCACGACGACAUCAACGUCAUCAUGGUGUAUCUCGACCGGCACAGGGGUCACCGUCAGACCAAUGUCAUGGACUCGAGCAACAACGACACAAGCACUCCUGUCGACAUCUACUCCUACAGCUCCGUCCAAUCUGUGCAGCCAUGA